CAGGGCGGUGAUCAAGCGGAUGCUGCUGUACAUAUAAAAGCUAUAAGAUAGAGUGCUGAUCUAAAUAUAAACGCAUCGUGUUUCUAAUACAACACCAGUAAGAUUGUUUUUCCCUCUAGUGUUCUUAAAAAAGCUCUUACACAAAAGUUCAUGAAAGCAAACUGAAAUUUGGACGCGUGCGAUGCGUCCGCCAUUCAAGUUCAAUCCCGACUGGUUGCUCGUCUACGAACCCUUUACCUUCUACCCCCCCCCCCCCCCCCCUGCUCAAUUCUAUUCCAGGAACAGAAGGCAAAGGAAGUGUCGCAGCAAUACAAGGAAACGGCCCGCUAAUCCAGCAGCCUGAACAGACCAAGGGCAGCGAUGACACAAUAAAAGUGCCUCUACUAUGCA
rnacentral:lncRNA from 1 species